CCCAGACUCCAAAGAGCCAAAAUCGACCAGAGCAGUAUUUUUUUAUUCUUUUUUUUGGAUGGGUGAAGAAUAAAUAAUACAUAGGAUUUACUGUGGUGGAAUUGUAUCUCAUGUACUUUAAAAUUCAAUCAGAAAUAUUUGAAGCUACAUUCAUAAGAUGCUACCUGGUGAUUGAGUACAUUUGGUCUUGCAGGCUCUGUCCAGCGAAACGAAGACGCCGCCACGCACUUUGCCAUCAUCUAUGGCAGCAGUUGCUAAGAUGACAAUAAUAAUAUAUAACACCAUGAUUGCGAAUUUUUGUCGUGCGACUCUCGCGGAAUGUGCCCGAUGCUCGGAAAUCGAAAAUUUCCGACGGAUCAAACGUGUUUUAUUCCCAUAAAGGUCGUCGUCGUCGUCACCGCCGACGUCGGUCGGUUUAAUGUAUUCCGUCCACGACCGUCGUCGGCGAGCUGCACUCUUCGCAUCAGCAACAGCAGCAGCAGCAGCGGCAUCGGCAUUAGACUGCAACUGUGUAGAACUGCGAUCGUCGCCGACCUCGUCUGCGGCGUUAUUAUCAUUAUUUACACCAAUCCGAUGAAGUAUGUGACACGCGUUUGCACAGCAGCGAGAGACGAAGACGAGUUUCCAAUAAAAAUGUUGUUGAUGUGCCCGGCCGUAUAUAGUCGUCUCGUCGAUACGAAAGAAAAAAUCGUGCGAAUACCGAUCGAUUAUAGAAAAUUCAAAUCAUACACUCUGAAAAUUCCUAUGCGUAUAUAUAUAUAUAGUAUAUACAUUGUCGAGUAUGAUAUUCGAAUUGUCCGUGAUGAUAGACACGUGAUAUUUAAUUAUAAUUGGCAUACAUUUAAAAAAAAAAAUGAAUACACUCGUCUUUUUGCUAAGAACCAAAAGUGGAUGAACAAUAAGCAUCCCUAGUGCAUCACUUUGUUAUCUGUACAUAGCAAUACGUCGUAAUAUAAUAAUUAUUUUGCAGAAAUGGAACUUCUUUGGUACUUCUUCUAUACACAACACGCAUACAUAAUAAUAAAAUACGUGACCGUGUUAAUACUACAAGGGUAAUAUAUGCAUAAUAAUUUUUUCCGAGUUGAUCACACCGUUAAUAUCACCACAAUACUAAGUAAGUACUGCAAUGACAUCGCGCGCACGUGUUGACACCGCCGCCAAGGGAUCGGAUUUUUUUUUUUCAUCGUAACAAAUCUUUCUCCAACACGCAUAACACAUAUUAUACAAUAUUUAUAUAUUAUUAUACUUUAUGUAAAAAAAAAAAGGGUAAUACGAUAAUAAUACACUAUGUGGUAUAGACGUUCAGCUGUGGACUUACUACCUUUAUACAAACGCGUGUAGCAGUAUAAUGAUGGUAGUGGUGGCAUACGCGAGCUAUUAUAAUAUUAUAUAUAAAACAAUAUGACGACGAAAAAAAACGAAA